CGUUUCAUGUUCACUAAGUAAAAGUGCCUAAGCAUCUUUACCUCCAAAAAAGAGAAGUUGAUUGCAUUCAAAUGAAUCUCCAGGUGGAAGAUAUUUUGAAGUUGAGAAACUACUGCUCCUUCCAAACACCAGGCGGGUGCCCCAGGACAAGGCAGUCUGGGCUCACGUUUUUGAGCAGGCCUGCGUUCACUGCCCCAGCAGGCAUUAAACACUUGAUGAGGAAUCCGAGACUCAGAGAGGUUCGACAACUUGCUCAAGAUCACACAGCUCAAGUGGCUGCCUCCCGGUUGUCUGAGAUACCCUGAGAGUCAGGUUGCCAGAGACAAGUUCCCUGACAAACUCUUCGAGGUUUCAACAAUACCUAAAAAUCUUCCGGUGAGUAGAGGGAAACGGAACCUGGGUGCAAGGCAGACGCCAUUGGGGGGGGGGCUUUGCCUCAGUAGCAGGAUCAGCUACAUAAUUUGCAGGGCCCAAUUCAAGAUGAAAAAGAGGGGUUCCUUGCUCUUUUUAAGAUGGCGACAUAGAAUAUUAAACGAAGCAUGGGCCCCCUAGGCUCAGGCACCUGUGUGAAGAUUUUGGCCCAUGAGGCGGGCCCUGAUUUGUAGACACCACCCUUGGAACAUUCUGCCCACAAAUGCUGCUAGCACUUUCCUCCGAGGCCUCUCCUGCUGCGUUGGAAGCUCCCACAGCGUUUCCUUAAUCUCAAGAUGUUCUGUUUAGAAAUCAAGUGGGAAUCAUAUUUCCCAAAAGCAUUCCCAAGCUGCCCCUACAUGAAACACCCAAGCUUUCUGAAUAUCAAGGUAAAAAAUAUAUAUUAAUUUAGAAGACACAGUCUUCUCUUCUUCAGGAAGACUGUGUGCAGGAAGCCACUUCAUGCAUAGACCUAAGGUUAAACUAAUUCACCUAAUUGGUAGAAAGAGCAAUUUCUACCAACUUUACGAAGUUUAAAUUACACGGUAGCAUUGAAAAGGAAGAAAACUGCUUAGGCGUGGGGCAGAACACAUUAGCUGGGAGAGAGGAUUGAGAAAGGAGUUUGGAGAAUUCGACGGCUGCUAGGAUGGGUGUGGAAGAUUGAGAGAAAGACAUUAAAAAGAAGAGUUUAGGCCAGGCAUGG